UACGUAGGGGGCUAGCGUUGUCCGGAUUUAUUGGGCGUAAAGAGCGUGUAGGCGGCCAAGUAGGUCCGGUGUGAAAACUCGAGGCUACCUCGAGAUGCUCGGAACCAACUUUGGCUAGAGGUCCGGAAGAGGAAAGUGGAAUUCCUGGUGUGAGCGGUGAAAUGACGCAGAUAUCAGGAAGGAACACCAAUGGCGAAAGCAGCUUCUGGGACGGUACUGACGCUGAGACGACGAAGCGUGGGGGAGCGAACAGG
rnacentral:rRNA from 1 species